rnacentral:rRNA from 1 species
UUGUAAGGCCUGCUCAAUGAAAAUUAAAUAGCCGCAGAAAUUUAACUGUGCUAAGGUAGCAUAAUCAUUAGAUUUUUAAUUAAAAUCUGGAAUGAAAGGAUCAACCUUUAAUAACUUUUCUAAAAUAUAAAACUUCAAAUUAUAAUAAAGAUAAAAAUAUUUUUAUUUCAUAAAAAGACGACAAGACCCUAUUGAACUUAACUUAAGUUAAGCUGGGGCAGCUUAUUAAAAACAAUUUUAAUUUGAUUAAUUAAAUAAAAACCUAAUAUUAUUAAAUCAAACAAGUUACCAUAGGGAUAACAGCGUAAUUUUUUAAAAAAGUUCUUAUCCAAUAAAAAGAUUGCGACCUCGAUGUUGAAUUAUAUUCCUUUUUAAAGCAAAAUUAAAUAUAGGGGG